rnacentral:rRNA from 2 species
AAAACUUUUGUUGUUAGGGAAGAACAAGUACCGUUCGAAUAGGGCGGUACCUUGACGGUACCUAACCAGAAAGCCACGGCUAAUUACGUGCCAGCAGCCGCGGUAAUACGUAGGUGGCAAGCGUUGUCCGGAAUUAUUGGGCGUAAAGCGCGCGCAGGCGGUUUCUUAAGUCUGAUGUGAAAGCCCCCGGCUCAACCGGGGAGGGUCAUUGGAAACUGGGGAACUUGAGUGCAGAAGAGGAGAGUGGAAUUCCACGUGUAGCGGUGAAAUGCGUAGAGAUGUGGAGGAACACCAGUGGCGAAGGCGACUCUCUGGUCUGUAACUGACGCUGAGGCGCGAAAGCGUGGGGAGCGAACAGGAUUAGAUACCCUGGUAGUCCACGCCGUAAACGAUGAGUGCUAAGUGUUAGAGGGUUUCCGCCCUUUAGUGCUGCAGCAAACGCAUUAAGCACUCCGCCUGGGGAGUACGGUCGCAAGACUGAAACUCAAAGGAAUUGACGGGGGCCCGCACAAGCGGUGGAGCAUGUGGUUUAAUUCGAAGCAACGCGAAGAACCUUACCAGGUCUUGACAUCCUCUGACAACCCUAGAGAUAGGGCUUCCCCUUCGGGGGCAGAGUGACAGGUGGUGCAUGGUUGUCGUCAGCUCGUGUCGUGAGAUGUUGGGUUAAGUCCCGCAACGAGCGCAACCCUUGAUCUUAGUUGCCAGCAUUCAGUUGGGCACUCUAAGGUGACUGCCGGUGACAAACCGGAGGAAGGUGGGGAUGACGUCAAAUCAUCAUGCCCCUUAUGACCUGGGCUACACACGUGCUACAAUGGGCAGAACAAAGGGCAGCGAAGCCGCGAGGCUAAGCCAAUCCCACAAAUCUGUUCUCAGUUCGGAUCGCAGUCUGCAACUCGACUGCGUGAAGCUGGAAUCGUUGGUAAUCGCGGAUCAGCAUGCCGCGGUGACUACGUU